GUUGUGGCUUAGUGGUAGAGCGCUUGCCUACCAUAUGUGAAUCCCUGAGUUCAAUCCUCAGCACAACA
rnacentral:tRNA from 1 species